CCUACGGGUGGCAGCAGUGGGGAAUAUUGGUCAAUGGGCGAAAGCCUGAACCAGCAAUGCCGCGUGAGUGAUGAAGGCCUUCGGGUUGUAAAGCUCUGUCGGGAGGGACGAAAAAGCGGCUUAACAAACCGCAUUGACGGUACCUCCAAAGGAAGCACCGGCUAACUCUGUGCCAGCAGCCGCGGUAAUACAGAGGGUGCAAGCGUUGUUCGGAAUUACUGGGCGUAAAGCGCGUGUAGGUGGCGACAUAAGUCGGAUGUGAAAUCCCUCGGCUCAACCGAGGAAGUGCAUUCGAUACUGCGUUGCUUGAGUACCGGAGGGGAUGGCGGAAUUCCCGGUGUAGAGGUGAAAUUCGUAGAUAUCGGGAGGAACACCUGUGGCGAAGGCGGCCAUCUGGACGGUCACUGACACUGAGACGCGAAAGCGUGGGUAGCAAACAGGAUUAGAUACCCUUGUAGUC
rnacentral:rRNA from 1 species